rnacentral:lncRNA from 1 species
CUAUACUAUCUAGCAAACAAACUAGAAUAAACAGAGCAUUAUUUACGUCAACCUCAUCCUUUAUUUUAACUAAGAGCAUACACGGGAACUAAACUACUAUAAAAGGGAUUGUCCAAUUAUAUGUUCCACAUGGCAAAAUCUACAAAACAUUGUAUCAAAUGACCUAAGUACAAUCCGUAAAGAAAAAGAAGCUAAUUCAAAUUUAUAGCGUCAACGCUUCAUGUAGUAUAUAUUCAUGCUCCAAAUUUCAGCUUACAAGAUUCAAUGUAUCAAUUGUGUGCUUGGUAUUUGAGAAGCAAAGAAAAGGAAGAAGUCAGUAGUGUAGCAGUAGCACGACACAACAACAGGUUCGGAAACCACAACAGUAAACCAGUAACAAACAAUGAAUUCAACAACUGAUAACCCAGUAGCAGAUUGAAAACCAAGCAGAAGAAGCCCAGGAACACCAAAUAAAUAAGAGUAGCUCCAGAAGAUAGAUAUCAACAGAAACCCAAGAUAUAUCACACUGAAAACCCAGUAACACUCUAGAUGCACUCACAGUUAAAGCAAAAGUGAGGCAGAUGCUAAUAAAAUGGUAUUUCUGCUUGUGAACACUCAAAGUAACAAAAUGAAACUCUGAAGUAAAGCUCAGCCUUAAAAUUUCAAACAGGAACUAAAAUAAAAACUAUUUCUGUUCUUUCAAUCAGCCUUAAUCUUUUAAGUUCUGAAAAUUUUUGAUCUCCCCCAAAUUUUUUUCUUCUAAGUGUCAAAUGAUCUUAUUUAUAUAAAACAAGACUCUUUUCCCCUUCUUUUUAAUUAUUAUUACUACCCUCUUUUUAUUAUCCCUUCUAAUUAACCCUCCUUUUUCUUUAAUUUUUAGCCUCACUAUAUUCCUUCCUAUGUCUACUUUUUAACCUUUUAUCAUUACUUAUACUAUUCCUAAUUUCAAUUAAGCAAAUACUUUAAUUACUUAAUGGUCCCCUCCUACGCAUUAGUUCAAAUUAAAGCUAUUAGGGGCCCUACUGGGUAGACAAAUCAGUCAAACCAGAUUUCCUCAUUCUUUUUAUUCCUAAAACACCCCUGGAAUUUCUCUGUGCUUUACCCUAUAACUCCUUUACUGUCCUGCCUCACCCUUGUGGCCCAUCAACCAUGAACAGUUGAUUCAAUACAAAAUCUAACGACAGAUUAUCCUAAAUCAAUUCUUAAUUAAACACUGAAAUAUAUAAAGGCUGUAUUUAAUUAAGAACAACAUCAGCUAUAACCCACUUAAAACUUAUAAAUUUUAUUACCAAAACUAUGCAAUUAAAUUCUUAUUAACCAAAUGACAUAAUUGGAACAAUGCUGCAAUGAACUACUUGAAUCAAAACAGACUGACACAGAUGCAUAUUAUUCAAAUUUGAAGCCAAUUAUACUUUCUAAAUUAAACCUAAACAAAACAAUUUGAAUACUGUAAGCCUACUGAAUUACAACAAACAUAAGAAAAAUUACACAUUAUUAUAGGUGACAUACCUUGAACUAAUAAAAAUGCCGGACAAUUACGAGAUUGAAUGAAUUUAUACAAAACUUACUAACACUGGCCGAUUCCUAGUUAAAACAUGCAAAGGUUUUCUGAAAUAAACUGUGCAUUAAAGAACUGUAAGACUAUGGUUUAGCUAAUUCUGAACAACUUAUUAGACAUAAGCACAAAUUACAUAUAAUUAUAGGUGACAUACUUUGAAUUAACAACAAUGUCGGACAAUUAUGGGACCGAAUGAAUUUAUACAAAACUAACUAAUACUGACUGAUUCCUAAUUAACCAACAAACUACAAUAGCUAUAAAAAAUCAAUUUACCAUGUUAGUUAGUGAUUCAAAGAGAACUGAAGCAAGAGUAAGGUUUAUGUAAACAAAUAUGCAGAACAAGGGAUCAAGCGAAAGGUCUGGUUCAAAGGGGAUCAACCAAACAGGUUCAUUUUGGUACAAAAUUAGCCAAGAAAGAAGCAACAAAUGGAUAACAUACUGUAAUGAACAAACAACAUACUACUAUCCUGCUUCUUCUACUUUUCAAGCAAAUUAGUUGACGACAUUUAUUUAAUCGAUUUAUGAACCUACAACACACACGAUCAGAUAGCAAACUAUCCCGCUUCUUCUGCUUUUUCAAGCAAAUUAGUUGACGAUAUUUAUUUAAUCGAUUUAUGAACCUACAACACACACAAUCAGAUAGCAAGCAAACAGAAAUCAAACUAGAACAACUAGGUGAUUCCAGUGGUAUUAACAAAACAGGGGCUAACCGGAAACUAAUUAAUUGACGAAACUUAUUAAUCAAUUACACAUCCAAUAACAUAUACAAAACAAAUGAACAGAAUAAUUUGACCAAAUAAAAGGUCUGAUGAAGAUUGACAGAAUAAUCGAAGAAUUUGAAAAAAUUAAUAAAAUUAAAAUAAACAAAUAUAAACAAACACAAAAAUGGAACAAACAGGAAAGGACAAUUACCUUGGACACUUGGGAAUUGGACAACCCUGACUUGGACUCGAACUCACAUUUUGAGGUCGGACAGACUCUUAAUCGGGGUUUUCUCAGUUGAGAAUACCUAGAUUAACGUCUAUUAGACCUCAAUCUUCCAUUAAUUUGAACAGACCCCCAACUUUUGGAUUCCUAGGGUUCGUAUAGGUGAUUUUGGAAUCAGGGUUUUCUGGUAAGAUUCGAACCAAACCUUCAUUAGUUUAGGUAUGAGGGAGGUCAGCGGAGUGUUUGGUGUCAAUUUGAGGUGGUUUGGUACAGGUUGGGUUUUGGCCCGAAUCUUCAAAUGAAGAUUCGAGAAGGUGUGCAAAUAUUCGAGCCAAGGGAGUGGUAGAUUUUGGUUCAAGGUGUGAAUGGGGUUCUGUGGUGUUAAGGAGGUGGGCGGCAGCGUAGUUGCUGCCGGGUUUAUGGUGAAGGGGAGCUAUGGCGGCUAGGGUUUGUUAGGGGUUUUCUGGUUCAGUCUCUGAGACAGAUAAUAGGAAUGGUGG